rnacentral:rRNA from 1 species
GGACCGACGGGAGCUUGCUCCCUUAGGUCAGCGGCGGACGGGUGAGUAACACGUGGGUAACCUGCCUGUAAGACUGGGAUAACUCCGGGAAACCGGGGCUAAUACCGGAUGCUUGAUUGAACCGCAUGGUUCAAUUAUAAAAGGUGGCUUUUAGCUACCACUUACAGAUGGACCCGCGGCGCAUUAGCUAGUUGGUGAGGUAACGGCUCACCAAGGCAACGAUGCGUAGCCGACCUGAGAGGGUGAUCGGCCACACUGGGACUGAGACACGGCCCAGACUCCUACGGGAGGCAGCAGUAGGGAAUCUUCCGCAAUGGACGAAAGUCUGACGGAGCAACGCCGCGUGAGUGAUGA